ACUGUAAGGUUGAGCAGCGAGCGGCGGCGGCGGCCGGUACGCGGGUUCGCCGCCAGGCAGGCGUAGGUGCCUGCGUGGCCCGGUCCGACCGCGGGCAGCAGGAGGCGCGACCCCGCGGGCACCGCGGCCUCGGCCGGGUCCGCCAGGCUCCACGUGAUGUCGGCGGGCGGCCGCGAGGCGGCGGCGCAGCGCAAGGUCACGUUACUGCCCGCGGUGACAAAGCGGGCAGGCGCGGCGUCGCGGUCCGAGGAGACCGUGAUGGUCGGCGGGUCCGGGCCGUCUGGAGGGAGGAGGGGUCGGGACCGCGAGUGUCAGGGUCACCUGGGACGCCGCUAGGACUCCCGGAGACUGGGUCCCCAGCCCGCUUCUCCCCAAGGACCCCCUGUCCCCGACCCGAGGCAUCCCCCACUCACAGAAGACGCUGACGUCGGCGGCAGCCUCCCUGUGGCCGAAGGGGCUGCGGACGCGGCAAGUGUACCGGGCGUGGUCGCUGCGCACAGGGCGCACGAUGAGCAGCUGGUCGCCCUCUGAGCGCAUCCGGGGCGUCUCGGCUCCCUCCGAUUCCGCCGCCUCCAGGGCGCGUCCGUCCCGGCUCCAGCUCAGCUCCCCGCGACCUGGCCCCCACCCCAGGCAGCGCAGCCGGAGCUCGGCCGCCCCCUCCUCUGUCUCUGGAGCCUUGGGCUGAACCGACAGCUGGGGGACCCCACAGCACCGUGACUUGCCCAAAGCCUGGCAGAGCAGAGCAGCCCCUGCCGCCUGCACGCCGGACGCCAGGGCCCACUUACCAUACACACCCACCGUGAACUCGAACUGAUCUGGAACUUUCCAGCUGGGAGGUUUGAUGGAGGGAACUUCCACACCCAGCCCCUGGGAAGAGCUCUUUGAGUCUGAAGAGAAGGCAGAGGAGAAGUUGGUUUGCUGAAGUCCAGAAGAGGCUCUGAGGGAGAGAUGGGGUUUUGCCAUGUUGGCCAGGCUUAUCAUGAACUCCUGACCUCAAGUGAUCUGCCCGCCUCAGCCUCCCAGUGUUGGGAUUACAGGCGUGAGCCACCGUGCCCGGACUAAUAUUGGACACUCCCUCAUGGAAUCCAGCCGCCACACUGCGAGGAUCAGCAGCCCCAUGGAGGGGAAUCAUGGCCCCUGGUCAGCAGCCCCAGCCAGCUUGCUGGCUAUGUGGGUGAGCCCUCUUGGAAGUCAAUCCCCUGGCCCCAUUUGAGGCACAUGAACUGAUCCUGAACUGGAUCCAGGAAUGGAUCCAGUGGGAUUUGACCCAGGGCCCUGGGACCCAGAACCCAUACCCUUAACCUCUACAUGAUGCUGUUACUAUUUUCAUCUGCAGAUGAGGCAACUGAAACUCAAAAUAGGAAGGAACUCACCCAAGAUCUAGCUGGCAAAGGUAAGAGUGAGCAUAUGAAAUCAAUAUAUCUGACUCUAUCAGAAGGCCAGAGGAAUGGAACACAAUUUUUUAAAUAAAAAAUUAGUCCAGGCGCUGUGGCUCACGCUUGUAAUCCCAGCACUUUGAGAGGCUGAGGCGGGCGGAUCACUUGAGGUCAGGAGUUCAAGACAGCCUGGGCAACAUGGUGAAACCCCGUCUCUACUAAAAGUACAAAAAUUAGCCGGGUGUGGUGGUGCAAGCCUGGGCAACAGAGCGAGACUCUGUCUCAAAAAACAUAAUUAAAAAAAAAUUAACCUGA